rnacentral:SRP_RNA from 1 species
AGCCGGGUCCCGCGCAACGGCCGGUCGCCAACUCCGUCAGGCCCGGAAGGGAGCAGCGGUAACGACCUCAGCCGUGUGCCGCGGGGGUGCCUGGCUGUC